AUGUCGCUGUAUUUCCGGCGGCUCUUCAACCGGCGGCCGCCGGCCGGGCUCGUCGAGAUCUCCAGCAACAUUCUGGUAUUUGACCACUGCUUCUCCACGGAUAUGCUUGAAGAAGACGAAUUGAAGCCAUACAUUGGAGGCAUCUUAAAACAGCUACUUGCGCGCUACUCCAUUGAUUCAUUAAUGGUAUUCAACUUUGAGGGAGGAAAGAAGAACAACCAAACUGCCCGCAUUUUCUCAGGCUAUAAUAUGAGUGCGAUGGGUUAUCCACGUAACUAUGAGGGGUGUCCUUUGCUCACCUUGGAGAUGAUUCACCAUUUUCUUAGGUCUAGUGAAAGCUGGCUCUCAUUAAGCCAGGACAACUACCUGCUUAUACAUUCAGAACACGGUGGGUGUCCGGUCCUUGCUUUCGCAUUGGCAGCCCUACUGGUUUACCUCCGAAGGUGCAAAGAUGAGAGGAAGGCGUUGGAGAUGAUCCACAAAUAUGCACCACCUGGGCUGGUUGAGCUCUACUCACCACUGGACCCAGCACCUUCUCAUUUGAGAUACUUGAAGUAUGUGUCAAGACGGCACAAAUCACCAGAAUUGUGGCCUCCUGCUGACAGGACGUUGAACUUGAACUGUGCAAUCAUCAGGACGGUACCGAAUUUUGAUGGUGAAGGGGGAUGUAGGCCAAUAUUUCGAAUUUAUGGCCCAGACCCCCUGGCUCCUCAUGACAGCAGUGCCAAAGUUCUCUUUUCAACUCCGAAGACAGAUGAUUUUGUCCAGCUUUACACGCAGGAAGACAGUGAGAUAAUCAAGAUUAAUAUCCGAUGUCCUGUUCGAGGAGACGUUGUCAUGGAGUGCAUCAGCCUGGAUGAGGACUUUAAACAUGAAGUGAUGGUAUUCAGAGUUAUGUUUAGCACGGCUUUUGUUCAAGACAAUCUUCUGUUACUUGAUAGGGACGAGAUUGACAUUCUGUGGGACACGAAACACCGGUUUCCCGUAGACUUCAGAGUUGAGGUUAUAUUUUCGGAGAUCGAUGCGACCACAUCGAUUAACACUUCUGAGCCAUCAAGCGAAAGUGAAAGCAAUCACAUCACGGAUGCUGCAUCAGAACAGAAGGGUUUGAACAUCAGAACAGAAAUGAGCAAUGGCACACCUGAACAUAACAUUCCAGAUAGCAGAUCUGUCCAGACUUCUCAGACGGAACCAGAAAAUAUCCAUUCUUCUGCACCAGAAGCUGAAUCCGUAGGUCCAACCACUCAAGAUCGUGAACUCUCCAUGGAUGCACCAAAGUCUGAGGGUGACAACGAUGCUAUUGCUGAUACAUCAUCCUCGCAAGACGCUGAAUCUGUAGGCCCAACCUCUCAAGAAGAUGAACUCGCCGAGAACGCUUCUGCAGGGGAGGAAUCAGAAGGGAGUACAACCAAUAGCACAGCCAAUUCUGAUACGCAGUUGGCAGACCCCCCAGGUUCAGAAGCUGACGCAGCCACUGCUGAACGUUCUGACACUAACUCAGAGUCAGGUUCACCUUCAAGCAGAGCUUCGUCUAGCUCGCCAAAGUUUGACGAAGAUACCGAGGACGCUGGAACAGCUGGGGCCGAAGCACAGUCGUCUAGCUCGCCAAAGUUUGAUGAAGAUACCGAGGACGCUGGAACAGCUGGGGCCGAAGCACAGUCGUCUAGCUCGCCAAAGUUUGACGAAGAUACCGAGGACGCUGGAACAGCUGGGGCCGAAGCAGAGUCGUCUAGCUCGCCAAAGUUUGGCGAAGAUACCGAGGACGCUGGAACAGCUGGGGCCGAAGCACAGUCAAUAGAACUGGAAGGAUCUUGA
rnacentral:rRNA from 1 species